rnacentral:rRNA from 1 species
UACAUGACCGAUAGCGAACUAGUACCGUGAGGGAAAGGUGAAAAGCACCCCGAUGAGGGGAGUGAAACAGUACCUGAAACCGAAUGCCUACAAGCAGUGGGAGGGGUUUUAUGCCCUGACCGCGUACCUCUUGCAUAAUGGGUCUGUGACUUAAUGUAUCAAGCAAGCUUAAGCCGUUAGGUGUAGGCGCAGCGAAAGCGAGUCUGAAUAGGGCGACUUAGUUUGAUGCAUUAGACCCGAAACCCGGCGAUCUAGGCAUGACCAGGAUGAAGGUGGGGUAACACCCACUGGAGGUCCGAACCGA